GACUUCUGGUUUAAUGCACCUGGCCCGCGGCCAACAGGCUUGUGGCCGGACUCGGGAUCUGGAUCAUUUACUUUGAAAAAAUUAGAGUGUUUAAAGCAGGCUAUUGCUAUGAAUACAUUAGCAUGGAAUAAUAAUCUAGGACUUCGGUUCUAUUUUGUUGGUUUCUAUAACUGAAGUAAUGAUUGAUAGGGAUAGUUGGGGGUGCUAGUAUUGGCCGGUCAGAGGUGAAAUUCUUGGAUUCGGUCAAGACUAACUUAUGCGAAAGCAUU
rnacentral:rRNA from 1 species